AUUGAACGCUGGCGGCAUGCCUUACACAUGCAAGUCGAACGGUAACGCGGGGCAACCUGGCGACGAGUGGCGAACGGGUGAGUAAUGUAUCGGAACGUGCCCAGUUGUGGGGGAUAACUGCUCGAAAGAGCAGCUAAUACCGCAUACGACCUGAGGGUGAAAGCGGGGGAUCGCAAGACCUCGCGCAAUUGGAGCGGCCGAUAUCAGAUUAGGUAGUUGGUGGGGUAAAGGCCCACCAAGCCGACGAUCUGUAGCUGGUCUGAGAGGACGACCAGCCACACUGGGACUGAGACACGGCCCAGACUCCUACGGGAGGCAGCAGUGGGGAAUUUUGGACAAUGGACGCAAGUCUGAUCCAGCCAUGCCGCGUGCGGGAAGAAAGCCUUCGGGUUGUAAACCGCUUUUGUCAGGGAAGAAAAGGCUCCUUCUAAUAUAGGGGGCUCAUGACGGUACCUGAAGAAUAAGCACCGGCUAACUACGUGCCAGCAGCCGCAGUAA
rnacentral:rRNA from 1 species